rfam:Penicillium solitum strain IBT 29525 PENSOL_contig009, whole genome shotgun sequence.
GGGCGGCUGGCCUAAUGGUAAGGCGUCUGAUUUCGGUUGAGUUUUCCUCAAAUACUUCCUCAGAAGACUGCAGGUUCGAUCCCUGCGUCGCUCA